rnacentral:rRNA from 1 species
UCCGGGGGGGGCAAGCGUUGUUCGGAAUUACUGGGCGUAAAGGGCGCGUAGGCGGCCUGCUAAGUCGGAUGUGAAAUCCCUCGGCUCAACCGAGGAACUGCAUCCGAUACUGGCGGGCUUGAAUCCGGGAGAGGGAUGUGGAAUUCCAGGUGUAGCGGUGAAAUGCGUAGAUAUCUGGAGGAACACCGGUGGCGAAGGCGGCAUCCUGGACCGGUAUUGACGCUGAGGCGCGAAAGCUAGGGGAGCAAACGGG